GACGAACCGCCCGAACGUUGUUCGGAAUCACUGGGCUUAAAGGGCGCGUAGGCGGCUUGACAAGUCACUUGUGAAAUCUCCGGGCUUAACUCGGAACUGCCAAGUGAAACUGUCAUGCUAGAGUGCAGAAGGGGCAAUCGGAAUUCUUGGUGUAGCGGUGAAAUGCGUAGAUAUCAAGAGGAACACCUGAGGUGAAGACGGGUUGCUGGGCUGACACUGACGCUGAGGCGCGAAAGCGUGGGUAGCAAACAGG
rnacentral:rRNA from 1 species